GCCUCCUGAGUAGCUGGGAUUACAGGUGCACACCACCAUGCCCAGCUAAUUUUUUGUAUUUUUAGUAGAAAUAUCAUGUCUAUGUCAGUAAAUGCUACAUAAGUAAAAGAAAAAGAAAUCUCAGUUGGGGUCUGUACAGAGGGUGGAUUGACAAGACAGUAAGGCCGAAGAUUAACCUGUUUUUCAGUUGUUUUUUUCCCCCUCUUCUGUUAGAAUAUAUUCAGUGCCUGCCCCAUUACGUGACCAGUCUGCAGCACAUCGCCAAGCUAGGGAGGGCCAACACCGCAUAAUUGCAUUAAACCUGCCUGUUCUUUCCGGAAAGUACUUCCUGACCGCAUCAAGGGAGGAAAUCAGUCAAAGGAGUGCUUUCAAGUCUUAGGAUACCACACCUAUGUUUCAAUCCCCCUACUCCAGUUCCUCAAAACCGCUAUUAUGCAAAGAGAAUCUGAAAUUAGACUCCCCUGCCUAUGGCUAAUUUUACUAUAUUACACUUGAUCUUUCCUCAGUGUUAUUAAAUUGACUUUUGUUGGGUGCAGCAUUUGAGACAG
rnacentral:lncRNA from 1 species